UACAGAGGUCUCAACCGUUGUUCGGAUUCAUUGGGCGUAAAGGGUGCGUAGGCGGUCGGGUAAGUCGGAUGUGAAAUCUCAGGGCUCAACCCUGAAACUGCAUUCGAUACUGCCUGGCUAGGGUACUGGAGAGGAGACUGGAAUUUACGGGUGUAGCAGUGAAAUGCGUAGAUAUCGUAAGGAAGACCAGUGGCGAAGGCGAGUCUCUGGACAGUUACCGACGCUGAGGCACGAAGGUCAGGGGAGCAAAACGGG
rnacentral:rRNA from 1 species